UUAAUUCUCAUUGGAUGAUAAAGACCAAUGUAGUUGUACACACAUGAUAUGUAGAUUUGUGUCAGAUUACAAGUUUUUGUAUUAAUUAGGCAGGACCACAUGGGGAAGAGAAGCCCUGCAAUUUUAGACACUAGAAAACACAAACACUACUCAUGACAUGUAGUAUGUAGUUUGAGAAAUUGAAAAGCAAGAAAUACUACAAUCUUUUAUUACUAAAUUUGUUAUACUAUAUUGUUGGUGGUUCAAAC
rnacentral:lncRNA from 1 species